AGUUUACACUCUCUUAAUUUAAAGAUAUAUAGUCUUUUUACAACAGAGCCUAAUGUUUUCAUGUGGCUAAUUCGGAAGACAUCUUGUUCUCUUUUAACCAGAGACAAAAGAAGAAAAGUCUUGGAAACAUCCUUCACAGUUUGGGGAUGAAUGAAGGCAGAGAAGGAACCAGUGUGAAGAGACACGAUGGUUUGUGUGGAGAAAGGGACCCACCAUUUACAAGGAGUGAGCCAUUUCCUAAGACAUUGCUUUAUCAAAGCGUCCUGGAACCCCAGAAGAUAGAGAAGUAUCAAGCUGCAUCUGUGUGGAAGAAGUCUGACUCCUAUUCCUAUGCUACUGGAAGAGCAAUAAGUCUGAAAAGCAGUGACUACAGGUCAUCUUGGAGUCAUACAGGAGCAGCAUCUUCUGGGACCCAAGGGAAGUACCGAGAGGGAUUUAGAAACCAGGGAUCUGUGGUCCUCCAUACUUAAAAAACAUGUUCAGUAUUUACAUCCUAUCCCAAUGGUAGCAAAAUAAUACCACUGAGCUGAAAAGAAUCUCUACAUUCUACCCAUUCUGGUAUUCUCACAUGGGCUUCUUCAAAAGUAUAGGAGACUGUCAGUGUGAACACAGCACACUUCAUGACUAUCACAUCAAUUCCGGAGUAUUUACUUUCUUCUCGGUGACAUUAACACAGGCACAUCCAUGUCAAGGAGGUACAAUCUGUUCUUUUUAAAAUAAAACAUGUCCAGUCCAGGGUGAGUGGGAGCAAGCCCACCUUGUGGCCACCACUCAACUACCAAGACCCCAACAGAGUAAUCAAUUCUGUGAAGCCUACGGGGAAUGCCACAUUAUUUCUAAAUAAGGGACCAUUGAUUAAGUUUAAAUUGUAUUUGGCUUGUUUAGUAAAUGUCUAUGCAGAAGGAAAGGGAAUUGACUCCAAGGAUUUCAGUUGCUCUAAAAGUAUGUGUGGCAUCAAUCCUGGUUUUUCUAAGUGAGGACCCAGGACCUGUGGGAUCAGUAUCAUCUGGAAACAGAAAUACAGACUCUCAGGUGCCAGCCUAGAACCCCUGGACCACAUCUGCAUUUCCACAGAAUCCCCAGGUCUUCUCAACCUUUAUGUGGGAGAAGCAGUGGAAUAAAUACCAAAAAUGCAAACAAGAUCAAAAAAGUUACCUGUUGUAGUUCACGUUUUCAAACUAUUUACUAAAAUUGAUUUCUGUAAUUAAUGAAGCUAGUGAUGAUUUGGAAUCCCUUGACUAACAGAAGGGUUUUAAUGUAA